rnacentral:rRNA from 1 species
UACGAAGGGGGCUAGCGUUGUUCGGAAUUACUGGGCGUAAAGCGCACGUAGGCGGAUUGUUAAGUUAGGGGUGAAAUCCCGGGGCUCAACCCCGGAACUGCCUUUAAUACUGGCAAUCUCGAGUCCGAGGGAGGUGAGUGGAAUUCCGAGUGUAGAGGUGAAAUUCGUAGAUAUUCGGAGGAACACCAGUGGCGAAGGCGGCUCACUGGCUCGGUACUGACGCUGAGGUGCGAAAGCGUGGGGAGCAAACAGG